AUGUGGCAAGCCAUCAGAGGCAAAAUCCCGGUGGCCGACCAAAUCCGGAAACGUAAUGGCCCCGACUUGGACCAUUGCACUCCCUGCUUGGCUCUUGAGGACUCGAAUCACAUCUUUUUCGGGUGUGUCUUAGCAAGGUUGGCCUACUGUUGUAUUAGAUCUUGGAUGGGGGUCUCAUGGGCCCCUACCUCCUUUGCUAAGCUGGGGCCGCUGGCUGUGGGCCUUCUGUGGAAAUCAUUGACUAAGGAUGCUGAUCGGGACGCACUGGAGGAGUUGAUAUCUAGGGUGCGAUCUUCUGCUUCUUCUCCGGUCCAGCCUCAUGGCAUCAACUGA
rnacentral:rRNA from 1 species